rnacentral:rRNA from 1 species
GAGCCUACGGGGGGCAGCAGUGAGGAAUAUUGGUCAAUGGCCGGAAGGCUGAACCAGCCAAGUCGCGUGAGGGAAUAAGGCCCUAUGGGUCGUAAACCUCUUUUGUCAGGGAGCAAAGGCGUCCACGUGUGGACGAGAGGAGAGUACCUGAAGAAAAAGCAUCGGCUAACUCCGUGCCAGCAGCCGCGGUAAUACGGAGGAUGCGAGCGUUAUCCGGAUUUAUUGGGUUUAAAGGGUGCGCAGGCGGGAGAUCAAGUCAGCGGUAAAAUGUCGGGGCUCAACCCCGGCCGGCCGUUGCAACUGGU